rnacentral:rRNA from 1 species
GACGAACGCUGGCGGCGUGCUUAACACAUGCAAGUCGAACGGAAAGGCCCUGCUUUUGUGGGGUGCUCGAGUGGCGAACGGGUGAGUAACACGUGAGUAACCUGCCCUUGACUUUGGGAUAACUUCAGGAAACUGGGGCUCAUACCGGAUAGGAGCUCCUGCUGCAUGGUGGGGGUUGGAAAGUUUCGGCGGUUGGGGAUGGACUCGCGGCUUAUCAGCUUGUUGGUGGGGUAGUGGCUUACCAAGGCUUUGACGGGUAGCCGGCCUGAGAGGGUGACCGGCCACAUUGGGACUGAGAUACGGCCCAGACUCCUACGGGAGGCAGCAGUGGGGAAUAUGGCACAAUGGGCGGAGGCCUGAUGCAGCAACGCCGCGUGCGGGAUGACGGCCUUCGGGUUGUAAACCGCUUUCGCCUGUGACGAAGCGAGAGUGACGGUAAUGGGUAAAGAAGCACCGGCUAACUACGUG